rnacentral:tRNA from 1 species
CAGGAAAUAGUUUAAGUAAAAUAUUAAUUUUGGGGAUUAAAGACAGGGCGUUAGGCUUUUUUCCUGA